rnacentral:lncRNA from 1 species
UGCCAUGGCUAGAGUUUCGAACCCGGAUGCUGUGGUCUAACAUCUAGACCUUCCUUAUGGCCCCCCCACCGGGAUUAGCAUGGCCAUACCAGGAGAACCCUCUCAUAGCACAGAUAGCUAGAGUACUGGAGCAUGGAGGGAUCCAAGUUGGACAAAGGGGAGGAGCCCUUCCCGUCCAAGAGCAUGAGGGUCAAAUUCGGCUAGGCCCUCUACCAUUCGAAGCCCCACAGGAUCAGCUAGAACCUCC